CGGGGUGUGGCGCAAUUGGCUAGCGCGCUGCGUUCGGGACGCAGAGGUUCUCGGUUCAAGUCCGAGCACCCCGA
rnacentral:tRNA from 1 species